rnacentral:rRNA from 1 species
AGUGAACGCUGGCGGUAGGCCUAACACAUGCAAGUCGAACGGCAGCACAGUAAGAGCUUGCUCUUACGGGUGGCGAGUGGCGGACGGGUGAGGAAUACAUCGGAAUCUACUUUUUCGUGGGGGAUAACGUAGGGAAACUUACGCUAAUACCGCAUACGACCUACGGGUGAAAGCAGGGGAUCUUCGGACCUUGCGCGAUUGAAUGCGCCGAUGUCGGAUUAGCUAGUUGGCGGGGUAAAGGCCCACCAAGGCGACGAUCCGUAGCUGGUCUGAGAGGAUGGUCAGCCACACUGGAACUGAGACACGGUCCAGACUCCUACGGGAGGCAGCAGUGGGGAAUAUUGGACAAUGGGCGCAAGCCUGAUCCAGCCAUACCGCGUGGGUGAAGAAGGCCUUCGGGUUGUAAAGCCGUUUUGUUGGGAAAGAAAAGCAGCAGGUUAAUACCCCGCUGUUCUGACGGUACCCAAAGAAUAAGCACCGGCUAACUUCGUG